GAUUGAAGUCAGUCGUACCGACGAGAAUUCAGCUCUUCAAGUGUGAACUUGUGGGCGUGCGUGAGCUUUAAAACCUCGCUGCUUGCAACGUUUGUGCUUUUUGGGUGUACUUUUUCGUAUGGUUGGCCAACGUCAGUUUCGUUUACCAUAAAAUGGUCGGAGGAAUGUAGCUUCGAUCUCGUAUUGAAGUGUUAUAGCCUCUGGUAGAUGUGGUGAACGAAACUGAGGAUUGCAACGAAUACCCUUUGGGCUAUCCGUCUGACCUACUGAAAGUUGCUUAGGUGCCGAAAGCAUGCUUACGGUUAUUUAAGUGAC
rnacentral:rRNA from 1 species